UGUACAAAUGACCUUUGUAAUAGUUUCAGUGGAACGAAUAAUUAUAGUAAAAAUGUUAAUGGCGGAUUGGCUUAGUACAUUAGCUAUGCACGGUGAAAACAGUGACAUUUUUUAAUGCAUUGAAAUGUGCUAGAAUAUAUGUCCUGCAAGUGACUGAAGCUCCAGCCAUUUUAGUGAAGAUUAAAUUUGAUUGACCUUUGUUAGGGUGAUUAACCCAUUUGAAAUUAAAAGCCGGCUCUAAAUUAUUCUGUCCAAUUUAAAUGCAAA